GUAGGUCUCAAGACUGUCGUGCAUGAAUCCUUCCUAAUAGAAUGGAUAAAGAGCAGGCUUGGACUGGGCUGGGCAGGAGAGAGGCAGCCGCGUACAUUCUAGGCUGGUUUCAGAAGCAGGUGUGGAGCGGCAGCAUUUCAGCUGCUUCAGCCGCUCACAGCCCCGAGUUUUAAGAACCUCAGCCAUUAGAAGCAGAUGAACCGUUCAAGGAGUCUCUCUGUGUGGACAUGAUGGUACAUGCCUGUAACCCCAGCAUUCUGCAGGGUGAUGAAGGAGGACUGCAAACGCCAAGCUAACCCUGGAUUACCUGAUGGUUGCUGACAACAUUUCAAAAGGAAUCUUCACACGCUCUGAUUUUUACCCUUGACUAGCUGACUUUAAUGGUAAUCUCCUUAGGUCUGGAGUCCAGAUGGAGUGGAAAAUCUCUUUGAUUUCUUUCAGAAGGGAACUUCACUAGAAAAUGGGCCCACUGGGCCACUCAUAAACUGUGUUUUCCUUUGUUCUCUGCUCCUCACCCCAACCCUUGCCAUCUUGUCUCUACCAUCCCUCUGGCAUUCUUGAGAA